UACGUAGGGAGCAAGCGUUGCCCGGAAUUACUGGGCGUAAAGGGCUCGUAGGCGGCCAACUAAGUCAAACGUGAAAUCCCUCGGCUUAACCGGGGAACUGCGCUUGAUACUGGAUGGCUUGAGUUUGGGAGAGGGAUGCGGAAUUCCAGGUGUAGCGGUGAAAUGCGUAGAUAUCUGGAGGAACACCGGUGGCGAAGGCGGCAUCCUGGACCAACACUGACGCUGAGUGAGCGAAAGCCAGGGGAGCAAACGGG
rnacentral:rRNA from 1 species